GGCCCUAUAGCUCAGUGGUAGAGCGUCGGCUUCCAGUUCCGAAGGUCUUCCGUUCGAUCCGGGAUGGGGUCA
rnacentral:tRNA from 1 species